rnacentral:rRNA from 1 species
UGGGGAAUAUUGGACAAUGGGUGCAAGCCUGAUCCAGCAAUGCCGCGUGUGUGAAGAAGGCCUUCGGGUUGUAAAGCACUUUUAUCAGGAGCGAAACGCUGUCGGCUAAUACCCGGCGGAACUGACGGUACCUGAGGAAUAAGCACCGGCUAACUUCGUGCCAGCAGCCGCGGUAAUACGAAGGGUGCAAGCGUUAAUCGGAAUUACUGGGCGUAAAGCGUGCGUAGGCGGUGACUUAAGUCUGCUGUGAAAUCCCCGGGCUCAACCUGGGAAUGGCAGUGGAUACUGGGUCGCUAGAGUGUGAUAGAGGAUGGUGGAAUUCCCGGUGUAGCGGUGAAAUGCGUAGAGAUCGGGAGGAACAUCAGUGGUGAAGGCGGCCAUCUGGAUCAACACUGACGCUGAGGCACGAAAGCGUGGGGAGCAAACA